UUGGAGGCCUUGCUGGUUGCAAAAUCAGCUCCUCUUAAAUGUAUUAGCGGUACAAGCAGAAUCGGCUUCGGUUUGAUAGAAAUAUCUAUGCUGUCGCUGAGGAACAAUAAGUGCAGCUUCUAAUUGUCUUCGGACUGUCUUUCAUUAGGCAUAUAUUGACUCUUGACCUCAAAUCAGGUAGGACUACCCGCUGAACUUAA
rnacentral:misc_RNA from 1 species